rnacentral:lncRNA from 1 species
UAGGGGCCCUAUUCCGUCUGAGAGUUCCAUCAGUAUCCGCCCCUUCUUCGAGAGUCCCGAUUCUCUUUGGCAUCUUCUUGGGCCAUAGGCAUCCUUCGAAUCGUCCCUUUCCUCGCCCCUCUGCAUCCCUCAGGGCGAUCUAGGUUAGUCCCAGAACCUCCAUCCUUCUUCUUGCCAUUUAGGGGUCUUUUCUUUGCCAUUUUCUUCUGUCGUAUUCCUCCGAGUUAGUC